rnacentral:rRNA from 1 species
GUGGGGAAUUUUGGACAAUGGGGGCAACCCUGAUCCAGCCAUUCCGCGUGAGUGAAGAAGGCCUUCGGGUUGUAAAGCUCUUUCGGCAGGAACGAAACGGUGUGGGCUAAUACCCUGCAUCAAUGACGGUACCUGAAGAAGAAGCACCGGCUAACUACGUGCCAGCAGCCGCGGUAAUACGUAGGGUGCGAGCGUUAAUCGGAAUUACUGGGCGUAAAGCGUGCGCAGGCGGUUUUGUAAGACAGCUGUGAAAUCCCCGGGCUUAACCUGGGAACUGCGGUUGUGACUGCAAGACUGGAGUCAGGCAGAGGGGGGUGGAAUUCCGCGUGUAGCAGUGAAAUGCGUAGAGAUGCGGAGGAACACCGAUGGCGAAGGCAGCCCCCUGGGCUAUGACUGACGCUCAUGCACGAAAGCGUGGGGAGCAAACAGGAUUAGAAACCCGGGUAGUCC